rnacentral:lncRNA from 1 species
CUCAUGGCCUCCCUUGGCCAUCUUCCUAGAGCAUGGGGCUUCCUCAGAGGAGGAGAGGGGAUGGAGAGAGCACGGCUCAGUGCAGGAGUGAAGGGAGAGCCGAGCCGAGAAGCACCAUCUGCUGCUGCUGCUCCUGGGCACGGAUGAACAUUCCUCCACCCAAGUCACUGCGUUCAGUUCAAGGACUGUUGGAGGAGGGGAGGGCUCCGUGGAAAUUUGUUUCCUACUUCAUUUAUUCAACAACUGUUUACUGAAGACUCAGUGUAUGCCAGGCACUGGGGAUCUGCCGAGGGUCCCCGUCCUCAAGAAGCAAGACUUGCGCACAGAUAAUUGUUAAGACAACAUGGAAGAGUACAUGAGAGGCCGGAACUAAGCAGAUCCUGACCCAGAGCUCCAAGUUCCCAACAACGCUAAGAAUCUAUGACUGGGGAGAAGGGACACAACCUCUUGCAGGGAACCACCUGCAAUCCAAAUGUGAUAGCUGGAUCUCCAUCAGCCAUCUUGGACCAUAAGUCGACCUUGAGGAUGGAAACCACAUCCUAGGAUAUGAUGAAGAAACUGAAGUCAGGAUGAUGACGUGACUUUUCCGAGACUGUGUCGUUAAUGGCCAAAUAACACACCUGACCCUUCAUGGAGCCGAAAACAAAAAUUAAGCUUCCUAGAAUCCU